CCCUGCCUUGGACUAGAUGAACUCCAGAGGUCCCUUCCAACCCUAACAAUUCUAUGAUUCUGUGAGAUGGGGCUGUGCUGGCGCAGGGCAGUGUGGCUGUGCACUGUGAUUGCUGGGGCUCCUCUGCUCAUGGGGGGCAUCUCCUGCCUGUUGACACUCCUGAUCCAGCCCUUCAGGCAACGGAAAGAUCUGAGGCUUAUUUUACUCUUUGAAGCCCAACACCCCCCCCCCCCCCCCCUUGCCAUGUUUGGGAUGGAAGAACUCAUGAUGGAUGUUUGGGAUGGAAGAGUUAUGUCUGCAGAGCUGCUUGUCUCCAAAGGGCACCCAUCCCAUGGAGACCAGGGUGAGGGUGUGCUGCCUGCAGCACGUCACAGACACCCUGUGACCCAGUGAUGAGCACUCACUGCUGUGCCAGGCACCCCUCUGACCCUCACAGGUUCCUCUCUCUCUCCUCACCUGCAUCUUUUGAAACUCUGAGAGCUGUCUGCAUGAAGUCAGUGUUUAACUGCUCUGAUACAAACCCACUGCACGUGAGCUUCCAAGUCUGUCUGCUUGGUGGAAAACAGAACCCUUCUCAUCUGACUAGUGUUUGUGAGAAGGAACACUGAAGGCUACAUGAAGUGACUGCAUUCAGAGGAGACGAGACAUGGAAGAGGAGGAGAUAACUUGGAAAAGUAGACUUUGGAACAGACAAAAGGAACCCUGGCAGAGAGCUGGGGGGACACGGAGUAUGUGAAGACUGGGGUGGAAAUCAAAGGAUGAUGAGGAGACUGAAGCACAGCAAAGAACGAAGGCAACUGGGAAGUGGCAUAUGGGGAAAGGAUGUGAAGGAACUAAUUUUAGCCUCUCUUUGCACAUUAUUCUGAGCUCACUUAAGAACACUUGAGCUCACUCAGAAGGCCUUCCCUUUCCUUCUGACACUGUCAUGGUGAACAUUAUAAAAAAAGCACCAAAACUUCACAAAAUAAAGUAUUUCUUGAACACCCCUAAAAUGCAAGGAACAGCAUUGCCAUCAUAUUACAAACAGAAAACCAGAGCCUGGAACUAUUUCCUGAUUAUUCAAUCCACGAAGUACAUUUGUUGUACGAGGAGACUGCUGUACAGUGGUGUAUGCAUGUUCUUUAUAUGUUCCUGUUGCCUUCUACAGCAGCUGCAAGUCCUAAAUUCUUCUGUUAGCUAUGCUUUAUUUAGGUCAGGCAUCUAAGGAAUAAGGGAUGCAAAACUUCACCUCCGUGCAUGAGGAAAGAUUUGGCCUGAGCUGAGGAAGAGGGGAGGGAUGAGAAUCUGCAGCGUGGCAGACCCUUACCCAAUUAUUCUAUGGCAUCAUUUGAUACUAAAGUUACUCCAGACUUUGAGGGUUCAGGAGCAGUCCUUCCUUUCCAGGAUGUCAUAUAAUUUCGAGAGAGUUUUUCUUUUAAGGCUUCGAAUUUGUCCUAUCAAAAAAGGAAUCUGAAGUCCCCAUUUACUUCAGCUGAGCGUGGUGUGGCCCCUGGAGCCGCUGCCUCUGCCAUGCACAUGCUGUAACCCUGUGGCACUGCCAGUGCCCACUGCUUGCGCUGAGAUUCUGUCUUCAAACAGGCACUUUGUGGUCUCAUUGUGACUGCAGCUCCCUGGUUUGCCUUGAGUUCCCUUUCCUGGCUUCUGCAGAGCUGGUUGAUGAACCACCUAGGCUUUAUCACUGUCUCCAGCAUCCUCAGUGAUGGUACAUGUCCCAGUUCACACCUUUGCUUUCAUACAUGUUGUGCUGUCAAGAAUAAUUGUUAGUUUUAAACCGGCGCUGAAAGCAGCAACAGGCAUUCCAAAGGGAUGCACAGGAUGAGCUAGUGACAGCAGCCACUUGGCAUUUCCAAUCCUGUGGUGCAAAAGGGGAU